CGCGGCUCGCGGCACGCAGCCAGACGCGAGACAAAUCGAGCCGCGAUCCACUAUCCUGUCCGUCCCCGUCUCCCCGACCUCUCGAUUCGCCGCUCGCCUGCUCGUCGGAGCCCGGAGGCUGUCCCAGCCUGGCGCCUGCCUCCCCUUCGCGCCCGUCCGGAGCACGGCGUCAACCGCGCCCUCCGCGCCCAGCGCCCACUGCACCUGGCGCCCGCCGCGCCGCCUAAUCCGCAAUCCGUCACUCGGCUGGCAGGCGGCACCGCGGCAGCAACCUUGCUCCUGUGGCAUUUAGUCUGAUUUGAGGUCCCACCCAAAUAAAACAUGUUCAAAGCUAUCAAAGUAAUGCCCAAGUAAGGAAACCACCACCAGCUACUCUCCAGGGCGCAGUGCAAAAUCCCUACAGGAGAUUAGAGAAACAAGGGGAAACACAAGGAGAUAAAAGUUACACCUUCUCUCGAUCUAUUUUUUGGCUGUAGAUUUGUAAAUCACUACUUUCUUUAGUUUUUAACCUCUAAUGGCGCAGGUCCUUGUGAUGGGGUGGAGCCAGGGGAAGUGUUUCGCUGCUCGUCCUACUCUUUGCGAUCAGGAGGAGAGAAGCAUGAGAAGUGCAGCAUGUUUGCGUCUUGCAGGGUGGGUGGGGCAGGCAAAGGGACGCAGGAGACGGUGACCCCUUUCUUUCCAAAUCUGGAGCGAGGGGGGACCAAAACAUACCAAAAACGGGAGGCUGCCAGGGGGCGCUAGUGGGCAAAGAUUGCUUGCUAGACGCGUCCUUUUUUUAAAUAUGCGAUUUUUUUAAAAUAAAAAUAAUUUUUGAAUACACAAACAUUUUAUUAAAAAUUCUCUUUUUUAA